GUGGGGAAUCUUGCGCAAUGGGCGAAAGCCUGACGCAGCCAUGCCGCGUGAAUGAUGAAGGUCUUAGGAUUGUAAAAUUCUUUCACCGGGGACGAUAAUGACGGUACCCGGAGAAGAAGCUCCGGCUAACUUCGUGCCAGCAGCCGCGGUAAUACGAAGGGGGCUAGCGUUGCUCGGAAUUACUGGGCGUAAAGGACGCGUAGGCGGACAGCUUAGUCAGAGGUGAAAGCCCAGGGCUCAACCUUGGAAUUGCCUUUGAUACUGGCUGUCUUGAGUUUGGGAGAGGUGAGUGGAACUCCGAGUGUAGAGGUGAAAUUCGUAGAUAUUCGGAAGAACACCAGUGGCGAAGGCGACUCACUGGCCCAAUACUGACGCUGAGGCGCGAAAGCGUGGGGAGCAAACAGGAUUAGAUACCCUAGUAGUCC
rnacentral:rRNA from 1 species